rnacentral:tRNA from 1 species
GGUCUCGUGGCCAAUGGUUAAGGCGCUUGACUACGGAUCAAGAGAUUCCAGGUUCGACUCCUGGCGGGAUCG